GGGGAAUUUUCCGCAAUGGGCGCAAGCCUGACGGAGCAAGACCGCGUGCGGGAGGACGGCCUAAUGGUUGUAAACCGCUUUUGAUAGGGAAGAAGUACUGACGGUACCUAUCGAAUCAGCAUCGGCUAACUCCGUGCCAGCAGCCGCGGUAAUACGGAGGAUGCAAGCGUUAUCCGGAAUUAUUGGGCGUAAAGCGUCCGUAGGUGGUUGUUCAAGUCUGCUGUUAAAGCGUGCGGCUUAACCGCAUACCAGCAGUGGAAACUGGGCGACUAGAGUGCGGUAGGGGUCAGGGGAAUUCCCAGUGUAGCGGUGAAAUGCGUAGAUAUUGGGAAGAACACCGGUGGCGAAAGCGCCUGACUGGGCCUGCACUGACACUGAGGGACGAAAGCUAGGGGAGCGAAAGGGAUUAGAUACCCCAGUAGUC
rnacentral:rRNA from 1 species